ACCUCAAUAGCUCAGUGGUAGAGUGCUUGAUGAAUAUGUUCUCGAUCAUCAAAAUGCCAGGGUUCGAAUCCCUGUUGAGGAA
rnacentral:tRNA from 1 species